GCCCGCUUGGUGGAAUCGGUAGACACAACGGACUUAAAAUCCGUUCUCGCUUGGCGAGGUCCGGGUUCGAGUCCCGGAGCGGGCACCA
rnacentral:tRNA from 1 species